GCCCACAUAGCUCAGCAGGCAGAGCACGUUCUUGGUAAGAACGAGGUCACCGGUUCGAUUCCGGUUGUGGGCUCCA
rnacentral:tRNA from 1 species